rnacentral:tRNA from 1 species
GUCCCAGUAGCUCAGCGGAUAGAGCGGCCGCCUUCUAAGCGGCGGGUCGGGGGUUCAAGUCCCUCCUGGGACGC